GCCAGCUUGGCGCAGGGGUAACGCGUCGCACUUGUAUGGAAGCGGCUUGCUUUCGAUUAAUGCAAUGCGAAGAUCGUGUGUUCGAUUCACACAGUUGGCA